AUGAAUAUACAUUCAAACGUGGAAAAGUAAAGAAAAAAUAACCGACCCUCUGAAACUUUGCACGACGUUGAUGAUGAACUACGAGGGAGAGGCGUGGUGGAUGACGUGCGGUUCCAAAGCGUAUUGGAUUUCGAUCUUGCGGAUCUGAAUGAAAGUGGUGUGAUUUCGACGGAUCCGGUUGUUUGUAGUUUUGUGUUCAACGCGCAUUCCAAUUUCCUUCUUUCUUCUUCUUAAAUUUUGGUUCAGUUUUUUAUUGUUUAGGUGCUAUUAUUCUUGUGUUGAUGUUGAAAAAUGAAAUGUGGUGAUUAUGGUGAGGUGAAAGGAGUGGACAUGAGUGUGUUUAUGGUGGGAUGUGGUUGCUGUUUGAAGAGAGGUUUGGGUGAGUGAAAAUGGAAGAGAGCAAAGUGGAUGGUGGUUCAUAUGGAGUUUUUUAGUGGUUGAAUCAAUAUUUUUUGGUGUGAGGUGUUGUUUUAAGAUGGGUCAUAGAACCUUUUUUUAUUUCAGAUGAUGAUGGUGGACGCGCAGAGCACAAAGUGUGAAAUAAAAUGAGUUUUAGUGUAUAGAUCCAAAUGCUCUUUUUCUCUGUUAGUUUUCCAUGCCUGUUUUUUUUUAUAUUUUUUAUGUGUUUUCAAAAUCAACCAAUAAGAGGUACUUAAUGAAAUUGGCAUGCAGAUGUGUAUUCUUGGAUUGGUUUAGCAUUGUUUGUUUUUUUCCAAAUUUGUAGGAACCACUUCUUCUUAGGAAAAAGAGGGUUUAGUUAUUAGUUAUUUAGUUAGAAAGUAGGAUUACAAAUUAAUCAUCCUUCUUAAAUAUUUUUAAUGAUUAAAAACAAGGUUAAACAAAAUAAAUGAAAUAAAUUUUAAGAUUAUAAACUAAAAAACAUAAAAUUAAAAUGAACAUAUAGCUAAUUCUAUUUAAUUUUUGUGAAUAUUAUGACUAAAAUAAAUAAGUAAAAUGACUCAAAGCGAAUAAAAGUUGGACGCGAAAAUGCCUGAAAAGUUAAAAUGAAAUGUACUACAAUGAUUGGCGCGAAAUAAUUUUCUCGGAAAUAUAAAGCGUUUGAGCCAAUUUUGAAAUGAAAAAUGACCGGUUAAAUUCUCAGACGGACCAAAAUGUGACCGAAAAAUUAGUCGAAAAAUAAAUUGAGCACGCCAGGUUAAUCUACGUGAAACGUAGAUUAAUAAAACUGAUGUCUUCAAGUUUGAUUUUGAAACUUUUUCGCCCGCUGUUUUGACACACAUUUGAUAAUUGAUUCAAUCGAUUUGUCUGUAAAUCCGAAAAUUUAUUUCGAUUGACAUUCUAGGCAUUAUGCGGUAUGGAAUGCAUUUUAUGAUAUGCAAAGAUGCAACGACUAUGACGGAUGUGUUAAAUUGGUGAUUCAGGAUCAAAAUUAGGGUGUGACAAUUACCCCUAUUUAAGUAUAUUCAACUAGAGAGUAUGACACAGUACACUCUUCAUAUGAUCAUAGUGGAAUAUAUUUAAAAACUAAGAAGACUCGGAUUUUGACCAAGCAUGCACAUGGCAUUGUAUGAUAUGUUAUGAAUGGGCGCGGGACUCUCUUUUAUUUUUAUUUACUAGUGUAUGAUAUGAGAUGAACCAUAACUAGAUAUUUUUUGAUGGAUGGAGAAUGACAAAUGGGCAUGUGGGGAAUGAUGGAGACAUGUUGUAACGGUGUCCCACAGAAAACAAAAAUGAAGGUGAAAACUUGUCGGGAUAACAAUCCUGCUGGAGGAAAGACAACUGGGGAAUAUGCAAAGAGAUUUUAACCACAAGUUCGUACAUGACCUGACAACACCAGAAUAUUCAAAGAAUUUUCAACAUAAGUUCAAACAUGAUCUGAAAACACUUGAAUAUUCAAAGAGUGCUCAACUAACAGGUUCAAACAUGAUCCGUCAGCAUUAGGGAACAUACAAAGAAGGUUUGAACAACAGGUUCAGACAUGACCUGAUGACAACUCGAAUAUCAAGGAAAGUUUAGUCAACAGGUUCAUACAUGACCUAACAACACUGAAAAAAAUCAAAUAAUUUCAUCAAAGGGUUCAUACUCGACCUGACAAUUGGAAUAAAGAGUUUCAAUAAUAGGUUCAAACAUGACUUGACAAUGUUGGGGGAUAUCAAAAGGUUCCAUAAACAGGUUCAAACAUGACCUGACAAUACUAGAAAACAUACAAAGAAAAUUCCAUCAAUAGGCUCAUACAUGACCUGACAACAUUGGAAAAUUCAUAGCGUUUCAACAACAGGUUCAGACAUGACCUGAUAAUAUUAUAAAACCAAGGAUGUUUAAUCAAUAGGUUCAUAUGUGACCUCAACAUUUGGAUAUUAAAAUAAAGUUUCACUCACAGGUUCAGACAUGACCUGACGACACUUGGGAAAAAUCAAAGGGAGUUUUAUCAACAGGUUCAUACAUGACCUGACGACACUGGAAAAUUCAAAGAAAGUAUAUCCACGGGUUCAUGCAUGACCUGGCAAUUCUGGAGGAUUCACAGAGGUUAUAACAACAUAUUCAUACGUGAGCUCACAACACUAGAAAACCCAAACAAAACUUCAACAACGGGUUCAUACAGGACCUAACAAUAUUGGAAAACAUACAAAGCAAGUUUCAUCAAUAGGUUUAUACAUGACCUGACACUUUAGAAUACAUCUGACAAUUAUGGAGAUUUCUCACAAGAAAAUCAUCCGAUCAAAGACUUUGGAGAUUCCUAACAGGGAAUUUUUACAAAACAAAGAUAAACAUGAGUCUUCUUAUAAGUAGAUCAUCCAUGCAAAAGGCUACGAUGAUUCUUUACAAAGAAAUCAAACAAAACCAAUAUCAUUGGAGUUUUCUAACAUGAAAAUCUCCAAGCUUCUGGGAAUUCCUCAAGAUGAUGAGUCAUACAUGACUUUCACGGAACCAUCAGGAAAGACAUGGUAAUCAAACUCUCUAUACGACCCAACAACAAUUGGACUUUGACCGUAAGCAGUGGAUUACAACCAGCUUUUAAUGGAUAGGUGCCAACAACAAUUGGACUUUCACUAUAAGCAAUGGAUUACAACCAACUUUUAAUGGAUUUUUCCAACAAUAAUUGGACUUUGACCAUAAGCAAUGGAUUACAACCAACUUUUAGUGGAUCUUGGCAACAACAAUUGGACUUGACCGAGGGUAUUAGUAAAACAAUUACCAUCUACAACGAAGUUUUCCAGCAACAACUGCACUUGAAAUGAUGUUGGCGACAACCAAACUUCAGAUACCAAUUACGAUUGUAUUUACAAACAGAGUAACAAUGAUGCCAACGAAAAUUGGGUUUAAAAUGAGUUCUAGUGACCACUGAGCUUGGAAUAAUGCCUAGUAACAACUGAAUUUUAGGAGACACCAAUAAGUCUUGAAACAAUGCCAAGGAAUGGCAUCGAGGUUCUGGAAGGGCGUCAGAACAAAAAUGACAUGUCAAGGAAUUCAUCGGAGAGUAAAAGAAACGAAUUCUGGAAAUACAUCAGAAUUACAAGUGAUAUUCUGGAAAUACAUCAGAAUUCAGACACAUCCGGUAAUACAUCGAGGAAAUUCUGGAAAUACAUCAGAAUACAAGACAGACAUAUUUGAGAAUACAUCAAAUAGGUGAGAAAACAUCUGGAAAUAUAUCAUAUAAGUUAUGGAAAUACAUCAGUAAAUAAAGGAGUAAUCCGAAAAUUCAUCGGAUAAUCCCAAAAGGAAUUGAACCUCAUGGACAAAAAUUUUGAUAGGUGCCAACUGAGUUGGACUUGAAAAUGACUACAAAAACCGGAUGAUGGUUUAAGGGCACCAAAGAAAAAAUGGAAUUAGAGGUCAAAGAAUCCACAACAAGACCUGGGUCAAUGCAAAAUGAGCACGAAGUACAUUUCGGUUAUGCAUGAUUUGAAUUUUUUUUAUACAUGAUAUAUGAAUGAUCAUGAUAUGAAAAUGUUGACACUUGAGUGGACCGGGAGUUUGUAAAGGCUUUUAUGGACGUUAUGAUUCCUUAACACCGAGAACUCAACCAAAUAUUUUGUGAUAGAUGUUGUCAAAGGAGAAUUCUAUCAAGUUUGAUAGCCAUAACUUAGCCAAUGGGAUCCUUUUGAAGGAUUAAUGAAUCCUGCUAGCAUAAGUUUCGGGCACUCGUCUUAAACUCAAUAGUUGUUAACGUAUGGCAGAAUUUGUUUGAGCAUUUUAAAAGCAUGAAGAAAGAGGUUAUGCCCCUAUGUGGCUCAUCUUGCCCCAAUAUGUUGGGUGUUUGAAAAUGUUCACCUUGAAAGUGAGUUUGAGACAGCUUGACAUGAGACGAUAUCAAGAUGGCUUGCCCCAAUGUUUGAAUACCGCAAUGAUCUAACCCUGACUAACCAAAACCUGGAAUGGUAGACUUCUGAUUGUAUGUCCUUAGAUAGUUGGACUCAAUGAGCUUCUGAGGUGGCUUGCCCCAGUCUGAGUCUUGAAGCAAAUUACUCUUGGCUAACUGAGCAUUUGGGUGAUUGGCUCGGAUUGACUGAUACUCAAAGUAAUUUCCCCUGACUGGACUUCUUUCACUUUAUCAAGUUCCUCAAUUAUAUAUUGUUGGAAUUUCUUUGAUGUUGGGUGUUGACUUGCAAAUAAGAUUGUUCAUUCAAAAAAAUGGUAAUUUUAAUGCAGUUCUUAUGCAAAAAUUUGAAAUCAAAAUUUAUUGAUAUGAACGGGUGAUGUAGUGAACGGGUCACUGAUAAGAACACAAUGAUGAUCUAGUCAUUCAUAGUAUGCAAGUUGGUGCAAUCAAAUGAUUAACAAAAAUCGUUUGGAGUCAGGUUAACACAACCUUGUUGUAGUAUGCUUUCAGAAUAAACUGUAUCUCAAUUAGGUCUUUUAAGGUUGUAACAUGGGCUGGUUCACGUUUUUUUUUAAAUAAAGGGAUAUAAGGCUCAAAUUUAAUUUUAACCCACCCCUUCUUCUUAAUGAUCUCCAGUUCCUACAUUCAGUUAAUUCGAUACACGCAUUCGACUUCGAAGGCGUGAUGGUGAAGAUGAGGAUUCAAUAUGAGAUUUUCUUGAAAUGACAGUCACCUUAUUUUAUUUUUGUUGAGGAUUUAGUGACCUCUUUUGAUUGAUUUUUUUUAUAUCCCUAAUUUUUACCUGGACCACUUCUUUCAAGCCUUUGGUCCACCGGGAUGCCUUAAUUUUUUCCUAAGUCGUUUUUUAUGGUGUUUGACUUAGCGGGAUUUUCUUUAUUUUUUGAAAAAUUAUGAUUGACAUGUUAUUGGUGGAUGAGGAAGAACCACUACAAUUUUUUUUUUAUUAGCUUCUAUGACACUUCAAGAUGUGUGUGAAGAAUAGCAUGUGGUUGAACCUCUUUGGAGGAUGUGUAGAGAUGGACGAAUUCUCUUGAAAAUUGAAUGCAUAUUCAAACUAUCUAGACACAACUACCCUGCCCCAUGUUAAUAUUAAGGGUUUUAGAUCUGAAAGAAACACCAUCUUCUAGGCUCAAAGUGGUUGACUAGGGAUUAACUCCUUAUCUCUUCAGUGUUUGGGGAUUUGAAACAAUGCCUUACAUCAUUGACAAGGUUUUCUUCAAAAGCAUACCACAACAAUUUUAGGUGUUUCAUUUUCAUCAUCCUCCUUCCAAUCUUUGUUAACACAAUAGUUUGAUUAAUAAAAGUGAAUGAGAGAAGUAUUUUUAUUUUUAACAUAAAUUAAAAAUGAGGGAAUAUGAAUGGAUUAAUUCAAAAGAUGCAUAAACAUUUAAUUAAUCUUACCAAUUCAAAGAAAACAACAAUGCUUAAAAGCAACUAACAAACAACAUGCAAGGAAAUUACAAAAGAAAUGCAGAAACAACCAAGUGAUUGCCAACUUUAGGGAAUUGACUUCUUCAAACUUGAUCCAUUAACUUCGGGAGACACCCUUUGAGGUCUUCGCACUUAUCCAGGCGAUAGGUUAACGUUCACCACCAAGCUUCCCUUUGAAAGGCUAUGUACCUGUUGUCAACCAACUGUUGUACUUUGGCUUUGAAAGCGUUGUAGUCUUCAGUUGAAUGCCCUUCUGAUCUAGAAUGAUAUCUAUAUUGCACAUUUGGGUCAUACUCGGGUGGUUAAGGUUGUGGAACCGGCUUAAGAUACUUGGGAACCACCAACGAGUUUUGAAUCAGAGGCUAUAGAAUUUGGCUAUAUGUCACGAGGAUUGGAUAACGAGGAGCAUUUCUUCUUUCCCAAUUAUUUCGAGGCCUAAGCUGAUUUUGAUGUUGAUUUCGAUUUCUAGGGCCUUGGGCUCGUUGAUUUGGAUGAGGAGUAAACCAUGAUUGUUGGUAUUGAAGAUCAAAAGGUAGUGGUUGCUGGUAUGACACUUUGGGCAUUGCUAACUACUUAUUUUCAACCACUUGAAGGUUGAGAUCAAUAAGCUUUUUGACAUUGGCACGACGAUCUUAAAAUUCUUUUCCUUCAAUAUCAUUGUUGGACGCAACCCUCUUGGAUCCACUACUCACUUCUCAUUUGCUUCCAUUGACAUGGAUCAUGACAUUGGAAAUCCAAGGCGAUAUCUGAAUGCUCUUAUCGAGAAAUGAUAAUAUCUCGUUAGCCAUAUCUCUGACCUCUUCCUUGUGGUAUAAAACCAUAAGGGAUUUCAGGGAUCCUUUGCCUUUCUCAUUACUUGGCCCAGAAAUCAAGAUAUAUGUACCUGAGCCUUCCUCCUUCAAUGCUUCUUGAAUUUUCCUUAGACAUGGUUCUUUGUUCUAAACGCGUGUCGGGAAUCACUUUGUUGAUCAUGGACAAAGGAUUGAUGAUUUUUUUGUAUUUUGUCUGGAAAAUGGCAUGCAUUCUGAUGAGAUACAGAUGCAACAGAAUGUGAAUGAAUGCAAUGCAAUCCAUGUAUAUUUGUUUUUUUUCAAUACACAGGUUAAAAAGUCCUAGGUACUGAUGAAUCUGAUUACUUUCCAAGAAUAGGUUCUCACCGGGUAUGAUCUAGGGUUACAAAGGUUCCUAGAGUCAUGGAUCCACAAGACUGUUUGCUGCAUGCGGCAACUUACUUGUCAGGCGUCAACUCCAUCCAAAGAAUCUACUCUAACUGAGGUUCUCGUAUCGAUCCAAUGAGAAAUUCCUCUCGCAGACCCACACUAUGCAACCAUCUUUCCUAGUUGGCCAAAUGAUUAAGGUUCUACAAAUGGUCCUUAGAGUCAUAGACCCUGAUGAAAAUAUCGAAGCUUACGACAACUUACUUGUCGGGCAACAACAUCCUCUAAAGGAUUUACUCUAAGUGAGGUUCUCGUACUGACCCAACGACAAAUUCAUCUCGCGGACCUGCAUUAGUCAACCUCGUCCUAUCUUAUGUUUUUACUCGAGACUCGGGUAGAGAGUCUUUCCCACAAGGUUUGUAAGCAGAGUAUCCAAGUACCAAAGCAUAAUGGAACCAAUACAACAGAUUAUAUCAAUAUGAUGAUAAAGAUAGCAAAAGAAAUAAAGAAAAGCCACACUAGUACACAAACAAAGGCACACAAACGACCUAACUAGGCUUGACUCACUUAGGGAAAUCGUAUUCUCCAGUAGAGUCGCCAUCUGUCGUACCUCAAAAAAUGAGAACAUGACCUAGCGAAGCGCAAUCGCACGCUCGCAAUGAUGGACUGAACAGAGUCGCCACUAGGCAUGGCAACGGGGCGGGUCGGGGACGGUUUUUACCUCCCCCAAACCCAAACCCGAAUCCCAAAACAAUCCCCGUUCCCUGCCCCAAACCCAAACGGGGAUGGAGAAUUAAAACCCAAACCCGUCCCAAACGGGUUCGGGUUGGGUUCGGGUAUCCCCGCCCCGCCACCAUCCAUUUAGUAAAAUCAAUUUUUUAAUAUAAAUAUUUACUUUUUAAAAAAAUUAAAACUAUAUAUAAUAAUAAAAUAAAACAAUCUAAAAAAUUUCGUACAUACAUUUAAAUAUAUUAAAUAUUAAUACAAAUCAAAUAUUAAAACAUUGGCCACUUAUUUAAUAUUCUAAAUCAUCAAAAUAAAUAAUAGUGUACAUAAUAAAAUAAACGGGGCGGGUUCGGGGUCGGGUUCGGGGUCGGGUUCGGUGGGUACUUAGUGUCCCCAUUACCCGACCCGUCCCCAUUCUUUAUAAUCGGGGAAAACCCAAACCCAAACCCAAACCCAGUCAAAGCGGGUUUUCCCCGUCAACUUCGGGGCGGGUUCGGGUGGGUACCCGCGGGUACGGAUUAUGUUGCCAUGCCUAGUCGCCACCGAACUUUAUUUAUUCCUAAAAAGGAAAAGGGAAAUGUUGAUGAAACCCAAGAAAGAACGACAAUGAUUAUGGUCGUCGCAACCAAUAUCAGGGUUCGGAACUCGAUUACGCAAGGGGAAGGUAUUAGCAUCUCUCACGUUCGUUGUAUUCAACGGGAACCAUUAAGUUAGUUGUGUGCGUUAGUGUUAGCUUAAAAAUGUUAGGCUUCUCAAGUUAUUAUGAGGGAAAGGAUAAUAGGAUCAAAAGAAAAGAAAAGAUGUUUUUGGAUUAUUUGCAACGAAGGAGACUAAACCAAAGUUUUUUAUUAAUGGACCUGACAAGAUUUCACAAUCCUUCUCCUACGUAUCUCAAUAGAGAACUCAAGGCUUACGUAGUUCUGGAUAGAAAAAUAUUUGUUUGUUGGUCAAUUUUAGCGAAAGCAAUAUUGUAUUAAUCGAUGAAAACAUUGUUUUACCCAAAACAAAUGAGGAGUGGACGUAUACCACACAUCGAAUGGAUUUACAAAUCAACAUUCAGAAAAACGUCACUUAUCUCAACUCAAAAAUUGUGGCCAAAGCAUUGCUUUACAUCACCUUAAGACAAUGUGUCUUUCGUUUAUGAAAAGAUUUUUCUGAACAAUCGCACGGCGGCAAAGAAAAGAGUUUGAUUGGUUGGAUGUAUUUUUGGGCUUGAAAGACGAGUAUUUAUGACUUGCAAGCUCUUACAACUUGGGUCUAAUACGCGGGACUACGUUUGGACCUUUCACCCAGGUAAUCUUUUUUCUUUCAAUUUUAUUGAGAAAAGACGUUUGAAUAUUUACAAAUGUUUUGGGGAGAAGACGACUGGACAUUCCAUUCAGGGUAAUCAUUCUCUUCAGAUUUUAUUGAGAAAAAGAUUUGAACAUUGGAGUGUUUUGAAGAGAAGACGAAUACAUAGGGCUUACAAGCUCUUACAACUUGGGCCUAAUAUUCAGGAUUACGACUAAAUAUUUCAUCCAGGUAGUCUUUUUUCUUCCAACUUACUUAUAAAAAUGAUUUGAAGUGAUUUGAGGGUAAUUGAAAUGUAGAUAAAUAAAUGUGAGCACGCAAAAAGAAAAGAGUUCAUUGUAAGAAGGCCCAAGAGUAAUCCACGGGACUGAAAGGCAACCGAAAUCGAGAGUAAACUAAAUUUAGCUCUAAGCUAACUCAGAGUGGAUUCAUGUAAGGACCACUCUAUUAGAAGUCGAGCACAAAGUUUAUGCGUCUAAGCGGUUCUUGAAAGUUAAAUAGGAUUUUAACUUUGAAAUUGUAACGCAAGAAAGAUAUCAACAACCAAAAUUAUUUUACAUAAUCAUAUGAAUAAGGAUAGAGAAAUUACCUAAUUAACUUAGUACAUCGAAAUCAAUUAAGCAAACAAUCAAGUAGUCUACUUAACAAUUAAAAAUAAAUUAAUUAAUUAAAUAUUCAAAAUUCAUUAACUCAAAGAUUAAUCCCUAAAUCAAAUCAUUAAAUUGUACAUUUAAUUAAUCAAUCAAUCACCUUAAAAUGAAAAAUUAAAUGAUUAAUCAAUAUAUGAAACAAAUCAAUUAACUAAUCAAAAAAUACUUAAUCAAUUAAUUAGUUAUUAAUUAACUAAUUAAACUAACUAAGAGAAGAAAAAAAACGUAAAAAUAAAAUGAACAUGUGAUGUAUAAGAAAAUAGGCUAAUGGGCUUGUAUCUAAAUAACCAAAUAAACCAGCAACAUUGGCAUAACUUCUCAUAAAAAAUCAAUAAGUUAAAAAACUAAGAUUAUUUUGUCAAAACCAACCAUUAUGUAAAACAAAGCCAUGUGACUCAAUUUAUCAGUAAAAAUAAAUAGAAGUGAUAUAGUUUAUUUUUUAAUGAACAUCUCAUCACCUAUACGUAUAAACACAACAAUCAUGAAGAGAGAGAAAGUUCAUUUUAAACAUGAUUUACAACAAAUAUGAACAUACAUUCAAACGUGGAAAAGUAAAGAAAAAAUAACCGACCCUCUGAAACUUUGCACGACAUUGAUGAUGAACUGCGAGGGAGAGGCGUGGUGGAUGACGUACGGUUCCAAAGCGUAUUGGAUUUCGAUCUUGCGGAUCUGAAUGAAAGUGGUGCGAUUUCGGCGGAUCCGGUUGUUUGUAGUUUUGUGUUCAACGCGCAACCCAAUUUCCUUCUUUCUUCUUAAAUUUUGGAUCAGUUUUUUAUUGUUUAGGUGCUAUUAUUCUUGUGUUGAUGUUGAAAAAAUGAAAUAUGGUGAUUAUGGUGAGGUGAAAGGAGUGGACAUGAGUGUGUUUAUGGUGGGAUGUGGUUGUUGUUUGAAGAGAGGUUCGGGUGAGUGAAAAUGGAAGAGAGCAAAGUGGAUGGUGGUUCAUAUGGAGUUUUUUAGUGGUUGAAUCAAUAUUUGUUGGUGUGAGGUGUUGUUUUAAGAUGGGUCAUAGAACCUUUUUUUAUUUCAGAUGAUGAUGGUGGACGCGCAGAGCACAAAGUGUGAAACAAAAUGAGUUUUAGUGUAUAUACCCAAAUGCUCUUUUUUUCUGUUAGUUUUCCAUGCCUGCUUUUUUAUUCUUUUUUAUGUGUUUUCGAAAUCAACCAAUAAGAGGUACUUAAUGAAAUUGGCAUGCAGUUGUGUAUUCU
rnacentral:lncRNA from 1 species